rnacentral:lncRNA from 10 species
CCAAUCAAGACCAGAACUGUCCAGCUAAGGCCAGUCUAAAGCCAACUCAGACUUGUGAGCAAAAUAAAUGCUUAUUAGUCAUUGAGUUUUGGGAUGGUUUGUUACAGAACAUUACAGUGGCAAUAGUUAACUGAAGAUAAAACUCCCUUCAGUGAUGGACACCACCACUUCCCCACUGAGAUGGUUCAAGUCUAACUCCUAUUACCAUCUGAGGGAACAAGCACAUUGCAGAAUUAAGUAGCAGAGGAUUUCUAGACUUAACACGUAAUUUAAUUCAAUCCAAAUAUAUUGAGCACCCAUUAGAGACACUACAGCGAAUUAAAAAGGAAUAUGGCCACUGCCUACCUAGAAGUUUAUACAGUCUAGCAGAGGAGCCAAGACCACAGGUAAAUGUGAGCACUGCUGAAGCAGAAGUGGAGAAUGGAAGCAGGAGGUCAGGAUUUCUAGCCAAAUGUCAGCUGGGAGUCAGAGAACUUCUAUCUAGAUUCUGAUUUUUAGAAACUUACUGCUGGUUCAUUUGUUCGGAGAGGUUUCUUCACACCUCUCUUCCACUCCUACCUCCCCUUGCUAAAAUCCACUGACUGAAGAAUACUUAGUAUGGAUCCACAUGGAACCAAAAUCCCCAACUGAAUGGAGUCACAUGCAUCAGCACAGUGGCUACCGGUUUCAUCUGCUCACCCAGCCUCAUGUAUUUAGGGACUGAAUUCAAGCUAGAAGCACCCAACACUUUUGUCUUUUGGAAUCUAAUCCAAGUGCCAAUGUACAUCUAAAA